rnacentral:snRNA from 1 species
GUGCUCACUUCAGCAGCACAUAUUCUUAAAAAAAAAUGGAAUGAUACAGAGAAGAUUAGCAUGGCCCCUGUGCAAGAAUGACACACAAAUUCAUGAAGCGUUCCAUAUUUAA